UACGGGGGGGGCAAGCGUUGUUCGGAAUUACUGGGCGUAAAGGGCUCGUAGGCGGCCAACUAAGUCAGACGUGAAAUCCCUCGGCUUAACCGGGGAACUGCGUCUGAUACUGGUUGGCUUGAGUGUGGGAGAGGGAUGCGGAAUUCCAGGUGUAGCGGUGAAAUGCGUAGAUAUCGGGAGGAACACCAGUGGCGAAGGCGGCUCUCUGGGCCUUUCCUGACGCUGAGACGCGAAAGCGUGGGGAGCGAACCGG
rnacentral:rRNA from 1 species